CCCAUGCUAAUUCGAUAAAACCCCGCAUUCUUUCGUGCGGUGAUUCCGUAACGAGACGCGACAUGUGAAGUUUACUGACAGCCUCGAUAUUGGCGAAUAUCACAAACAGCCAUUCUGGGACCGCGGUUGGCUCGUUUAUCUGUAAUUCCACCAUAGCCACCUGGAAAGAUAAAGAAGAGAAGAAGAGAUUUACCAUUUUAAUACCAUCCAAUAAAGGCAAGUAUUUCUAAGAAAUAUUUUACACAUCAACCUUGGAGCUGUACGAAUAGCUGUCUAAAGCUAUUCUUGAAUUGCACGGUUCUUCUUGGAAUAUGUAAUUUCAGGUGCUUAUAAUGAUGGAUGGUCGAAACUUCUUACGAGUUAUUAUGCUGUUCAAGAAUACUUCAAAGUCCUCGUGAAGAUUUUCAAGGUUUAUUGCAACCUUAACACGUUAAAUGCCGCAAUGAUAAUUAUUGUUAAUAUUAACAUUACUUCUGGCUACUUCAUUCACCCACCAAAUAUCCGCAACCAUAACUAUAGAGAUGAUCCAUCCAGUCCAGAGAUAUCUUGCUCACUGCAAGACGCCUUCUUUUGGGGGUGCUCUUGGAGAUCGACCCUAGCGGCUCGAUAAAUCAAUAUUUUUGUAGAAAAAAAAAAUAUGAGUAUCAACUUAAUUCAAUGUAAAAAGAUUCAUUAAAAUAAAUGCAAACGUCUUUCCAAAAAAAAUAUUUGAAAAAUCGCAUUUUUUCGGCCUCCUGACUAGGUAUAACCCUUUAAGUGCUUAAUACUUUUGAUAAACGGACCAUACGUGUACGUAAUUACAAUAUGUGAUUCUUAUUCCGUUUAAAAAUUGAAACAUGUUUGUUCACGAACAAUAGACUGUUAAAUGCUUAAGGGAUCUAAUCUAGUAAUUGUGUAAAUACGUUUAUAGCACUUAAAGAGUUAAUUAUACAAUUGUACAAUAUUUGAGGUAUCGAGCAUCGAUGUCCCUCAUAAUCAGUCAAUGCGUUAAUCACAGAGGACGAAUGAUUAGUAAACAAAUACUAGUAUUACUAGUUCUGUGUACGUACGCCGGUAAUACUAGAUCGAAGGCGGGUCCAUUGAAUGUUUGAUAAUCAAUUAUACGUUAGCGUGAUGCUUAUUGUUAAAAAUGUGAUAUUUGUCUUAUGUAAUCACAGAUGAGACCGAAGAUUACACGGAAUUGUCGUCCAAGUCUAUUUAAUGAUUUUCAGGAAACAGUUGUAUAAUCCAUCGCGGGUUCUCCGAUUCUACAAAUAUACACACACACACAGGUUCUCCUUGGAAAAAUUAACUCGACGAAGAAUUUUUACCCGCUACGACCAUUUGGAAUUUACAUCAACAUCAUUUUAUUUUUUAUCGCCAACGAGAUGUUUCACGCAUCGCAGGCAUUCGAUAAUAAUCGUACAUCAUCGAUCAGAUCAUCAAAGAGACGCUUAAUCGAGGAAACACGAUAGACAAGGAAUUUUUCAACAGAACGCAAUAACAUUAACCCUUGUUUCUUAAACAUGCAUGAAUUUUGUCCAGGAUAGUUCCAAGUGUAGUCAUUUCUCGGAAACCAAAGUAAACAGACUCUCAUUCACCCUUCUAAAAAAAAAAAUGAUUCCAUAGUGGAAUCCAGUCAUACAAGGUCAAUUUCCUCUAUCAAUUACUCGUUGAAUAGCUUUCUAUAGAAAACACGAAGACAUUCAAAUUUUCUAUUACAAUAUCCUUAAUUAAUUAAUAUAUGUCUCAUUAUAUUUUCACAGUGGCAUUCAACGUGUUAGUACUCAUUUUGUAAGAAAACAGAAACCAUGGUAUUCUAAACAAUUAUAAAUUAUACCGUGCCAUAUUACAUAGGUACGUUCCUUUUUUACUGCGUCAUUUAACUACUUUUUGUUUGCUAAAGCAGAUACC